rnacentral:misc_RNA from 1 species
GUAACAUAUGAUUACUUGCAAACAAGAAUAUCCAAAGUAUUUUAACGCUAUGGUUACGCAGUUCACAACAGGUACCGCAAUCAUAAUUGUUAUCUCAUCAAACAUUGCCUCUAGCGUUUUAACUGAUCGUGAUGUGCUAGAUAUCGUUUGAUCAGUGCUUUGAAUAGACAGAGGUUUACUACAAGUACAAUAACAUCUAAAACAAUGCAUUUUCUGAUUCUAAGGAACAGGUCAAUCGCCGCUUGCACAACCUUUACAGCCGCAAUGGACACAUUCUAUAACCUUCUCCUCCCUUAGAUGCUGUGGAACUCGACAGACACAGGUUGUUUGAAAGUUGUGAUCCCGCGGUUGCAUGCACCUCAAACAGCAGAGACGCUCAUAACCAGGCUUUUUCCAUUUCGCAAUCAAAUUUCGAUCAGCAUAUCCUUGAUCCAUGCAAAACUCAUAUAAUUCCUUGGAGAUCUCUUUCCUCCUGUGAAAGAGAUCAAAAAUAUACCGGCU